GUCCUGCUAGGUGUCGUGUCCUGCUAGGUGUCGUGUCCUGCUUGGUGUCGUGUCCUGCUUGGUGUCGUGUCCUGCUUGGGGCCGUGUCCUGCUAGGUAUCGUGUCCUGCUUGGUGCCGUGUCCUGCUAGGUGUCGUGUCCUGCUAGGUGUCGUGUCCUGCUUGGUGUCGUGUCCUGCUAGGUGUCGUGUCCUGCUAGGUGUCGUGUCCUGCUUGGUGUCGUGUCCUGCUUGGUGUCGUGUCCUGCUAGGCGUCGUGUCCUGCUAGGUGUCGUAUCCUGCUAGGUGUCGUGUCCUGCUAGGUGUUGUGUCCUGCUAGGUGUCGUGUCCUGCUAGGCGUCGUGUCCUGCUAGGUGUCGUGUCCUGCUAGGCGUCGUGUCCUGCUAGGUGUCGUGUCCUGCUAGGUGUCGUUGUCAAAAACCUUAAAACUUGAAUAUUUGUUCUUGCUCAUUCACCCUCUGAAUGGCUCACACACACAAUCAAUGUCUCAAUUGUCUAAAGGCUUAAAAAUCCUUCUUUAACUCGUCUCUUCUCCUUCAUCUACACUGACUGAAGUGGAUUUAACAGGUGACAUCAAUAAGGGAUCAUAUCUUUCACCUGGAUUCACCUGGUCAGUCUGUGUCAAGGAAAG
ensembl:lncRNA